GGUAGCGUGUCCGAGUGGUUAAGGAGUUGGAUUUAAGCACUUCAUGUGAUGAAUCCCAAUAGAGAAAUCUGCGCGAGUUCGAGCCUCGUCGCUACCA